CACCGUAUUGAUACGGUAUCCUUGUCUGAAUACAUAGGGCAAGCGAAGCGAACCCGGAGAACUGAACCAUCUAAGUACCCGGAGGAAAAGAAAUCAACCGAGAUUCCGUAAGUAGUGGCGAGCGAACGCGGAGGAGCCUGUAUAUGAUAGCUGUUGAGAUAGAAGAACAAGCUGGGAAGCUUGGCCAUAGUGGGUGAUAGCCCCGUAUUCGAAAUUUCAACGGUGGUACUAGGUAUACGACAAGUAGGGCGGGACACGUGGAAUCCUGUCUGAAUAUGGGGGGACCAUCCUCCAAGGCUAAAUACUCAUCAUCGACCGAUAGUGAACCAGUACCGUGAGGGAAAGGCGAAAAGAACCCCGGGAGGGGAGUGAAAUAGAACCUGAAACCUGAUGCAUACAAACAGUGGGAGCCUAUUAAUUGGGUGACUGCGUACCUUUUGUAUAAUGGGUCAACGACUUACAUUCAGUAGCGAGCUUAACCGGAUAGGGGAGGCGUAGGGAAACCGAGUCUUAAUAGGGCGAAUAGUUGCUGGGUGUAGACCCGAAACCGAGUGAUCUAUCCAUGGCCAGGAUGAAGGUGCCGUAACAGGUACUGGAGGUCCGAACCCACGCAUGUUGCAAAAUGCGGGGAUGAGCUGUGGAUAGGGGUGAAAGGCUAAACAAACUCGGAGAUAGCUGGUUCUCCCCGAAAACUAUUUAGGUAGUGCCUCAUGUAUCACUUCCGGGGGUAAAGCACUGUUAUGGCUAGGGGGUCAUUGCGACUUACCAACCCAUGGCAAACUAAGAAUACCGGAAAGUGCAAUCAUGGGAGACAGACAGCGGGUGCUAACGUCCGUUGUCAAAAGGGAAACAACCCAGACCGCCAGCUAAGGUCCCAAAUGACAGAUUAAGUGGUAAACGAAGUGGGAAGGCCCAGACAGCCAGGAUGUUGGCUUAGAAGCAGCCAUCAUUUAAAGAAAGCGUAAUAGCUCACUGGUCGAGUCGUCCUGCGCGGAAGAUGUAACGGGGCUCAAAUCUGUAACCGAAGCUGCGGAUGCACGUAGUGCAUGGUAGGGGAGCGUUCUGUAGGCCGAAGAAGGUGACUUGAGAAGGUUGCUGGAGGUAUCAGAAGUGCGAAUGUUGACAUGAGUAGCGAUAAAGCGGGUGAAAAGCCCGCUCGCCGAAAGCCCAAGGUUUCCUACGCAACGUUCAUCGGCGUAGGGUGAGUCGGCCCCUAAGGCGAGGCAGAAAUGCGUAGUCGAUGGGAAACGGGUUAAUAUUCCCGUACUUGAUUCAAAUGCGAUGUGGGGACGGAGAAGGUUAGGUUGGCAAGCUGUUGGAAUAGCUUGUUUAAGCCGGUAGGUGGAAGACUUAGGCAAAUCCGGGUCUUCAUAACACCGAGAAGUGAUGACGAUUGUCUACGGACAAGAAGUAACCGAUACCACGCUUCCAGGAAAAGCCACUAAGCUUCAGUUUGAAUCGAACCGUACCGCAAACCGACACAGGUGGGCAGGAUGAGAAUUCUAAGGCGCUUGAGAGAACUCGGGAGAAGGAACUCGGCAAAUUGAUACCGUAACUUCGGGAGAAGGUAUGCCCUCUGAGGUGAAGCACUUGCUGCGUAAGCUUUGGAGGGUCGCAGAGAAUCGGUGGCUGCGACUGUUUAUUAAAAACACAGCACUCUGCAAACACGAAAGUGGACGUAUAGGGUGUGACGCCUGCCCGGUGCUGGAAGGUUAAUUGAAGAUGUGAGAGCAUCGGAUCGAAGCCCCAGUAAACGGCGGCCGUAACUAUAACGGUCCUAAGGUAGCGAAAUUCCUUGUCGGGUAAGUUCCGACCCGCACGAAUGGCGUAACGAUGGCCACACUGUCUCCUCCCGAGACUCAGCGAAGUUGAAAUGGUUGUGAAGAUGCAAUCUCCCCGCUGCUAGACGGAAAGACCCCGUGAACCUUUACUGUAGCUUUGCAUUGGACUUUGAAGGCACUUGUGUAGGAUAGGUGGGAGGCUUAGAAGCAGAGACGCCAGUUUCUGUGGAGCCGUCCUUGAAAUACCACCCUGGUGUCUUUGAGGUUCUAACCCAGGUCCGUAAUCCGGAUCGGGGACCGUGCAUGGUAGGC
rnacentral:rRNA from 1 species